rnacentral:rRNA from 1 species
UCCAAGAAUAUUAGUCAAUGCUCGAAAGAGUGAACUAGCUAACUGAAAUCACUUAAGAAGUGAUAAUGUAAGGGAAAAUAAUGAUACUACCUUACUAUUAGUGUUGUCCAAAUCUGGUGCCAGAAGACUCGGUAAGGCCAGAAACGCGAACGUUAGUCAUCUUAAACAGGCGUAAAGGGUUUGUAGGCAGCUUUGAAAUCUUGAUUUUUAAAAAGUAGCAAACUUCUAUUCUAUAUCCAGGAUGGGAAACCUAACUUGGAAUAGUGUAGGGGAUAAAAAGAUAGAAAUUAGAAGAUAGAAUCAAAUAUAGGAAAAUUCGAAUAAAGUCUAGAGGAGGGUUAAUAUUCAAAGAUACUAGAUUGAAUGCUCAAGGCGAAGGCCUUUUUCCAUCAAUGAUUGACGCUCAGAAACGAAGGAUAGGAUAGGAAACAGGAUUAGAUACCCUGGUACCCCUUUCAGUCAACGAUGAAUGGUAGUCACUAAUUAAAUUAUUGGUGUCAAUGUUAACACGUUAACCAUUCCGCCUUGUGAGUACGAUUGCAAAAUUGAAAACAAAAAAAUUAGUCGGUCUCGAAGCAAACGAAGUGAAGCAUGUUA